GCUGGGAAAAUGAUGUUUGCUCAUACAUUGAAGCCAUACAUUGAAGCCAUACAUUGAAGCUAACAUGUGUGCCUUGAUAUUUUCCGGGAGCGCCGGUCACUUGCGAUGUAGGAAUGGGAAGUUAGGGUCUAAAGUAUGCUUUUUUGUUAUCCGUGGAUACCUUUAGCAUUAUCCGGAGGCAUCGGUUCUACGCCGUAUUUGCUGUUACGAUGGGGCUUCCUAGGUAGAGAAAAACAAAAAUAAAGAUAGGUUCUAAAGAAGGGGACAGCCAGAAAACUCCCUUCCCAUGUUCACUCUUCUCCCCCUUCCUGAACGCCAUGCAAGUUGUUUUUUUUUAAAAAAAAAAAAAAAAAUAAUAAUAAAAAAAUAAAAAAAAAAGGGAACGUCAAUCAAGCACAAUCAAAACAUAUAUAAUCUUCCUUUUUGUCCACAAAACCAUGAGUUUCCCACACACUUUUGCGAGCAGUCCAGCCCAGUCUCUUUCCCAUUUCACCCCCAAAAAAAAUCAGACAAAGAAAAGCAAAUAAAUGAACUCCAGAUCAUGUGUGGGAUAUCAAGAUACCGAGUGAGAUAUAGACAUAAUAUACAAUAUAUAUAUAUAUGAAAAAUAACAAGAAGGAACGGUCGUAAAUCAUAAACAGCGAAGAAAAGGAGCUAGAUGAGAUGCGGUGAGAUGCGGUGAGAUGCGGUGCGACGCGAUACGAUGAUGGCUUUCGGCCUAUCUAAUCAAUCAAAAAAUAUCAAUGUGCUUCCGGACCUGGAAUGCCAUGACAAGCAUCCAGAUGAGGAAGACUGAGACGACCACCUCGAAUGCAAAUGCAGCUUUCCAGCAAUUACCUGUACAGUCUUUUUGUUAGAAAACAAAACAAAAGAAAAGAAAAGAAAAGAAAAGAAAAGAAAAGGAAAUUGGGGCCCGAAAAAAAACAUACAGAUAUUAAAAUUCGUUAACCACGCCAGCGUAUUGAUACUCGCGCCCUUGAACUCGUACCCAGACACCCAAUUCUGGCAAUUCGAAUUGAUGCUCGCCUUGCUUCCAUACAGCUGCACAGCCGUGCCGAUCAGGCCCGCGAACCAGAGCACGAAGAGGAUGAAGCUGCCCAGUAUUAUCAUUUCGGGUAUUAGGGAGUGCUGCAUGGCGAGGAACACGAUCAGGCACAGGAAUAUGAGCGACAAGGCGGCGGUGGCUAUCAUGAAUGGAAAGACCCUGUAGGUUUUAAGUGAAUGAUUUAAUGUUAGUGGUUUUGGCCAUUUUGUGGGUAGGGCAUGGAAUGGAUUUAAGAUGCGGGAAGAUGCGUGGAACUUACCAUGGUGUCGGUAGCUCCAUCUGAGCCUGCACCGUCAUGAACCAACUGAAGAUGCCUAGACAUGUCGCUGACCCCGCAAGCACGACGGAGAACCAUAUGUUCAGUUGUAUAUCUGGCCAGUGGAACUUUCGCGUUACGUGGGUCGUUGUUGCUGUAUAGCUCGAGCUUGACAUGGCGAAGAGAGGGCUGCGAACGAGAGGGAUAGCACUUGCUCCCUAGUCGAAACUUUGGAUAAAGUAGCUUCAGGUGACUUCUGAGGACGCAAGAGGAAUCUACCAAGCAAUCGCGGGGUUGCUCGAUCGACCUGCGAAAAGAGAAGGGUAGCCUCUUCUCCGGAGGACGGUUCGCGAGGGUUCGAAGGGCGGAUGGGAUCGUACAGCGUCGAGAGCAGGGAAUUGCGUGCAAGGAAGAAAAGAAUAAUCGCGGAUAAUAAUAGCCUGGGUUUGAUUCAGGUAUAAAGCGAGGUAUUCAGGCCGCUUUGCAGCUAUUUCUUUAUCUAUUUAACCAGUUCGACUGGGAAAUCCUCCGAAAGUCGACUCUGAAGACCAAUGUACAUCACAUGGGGGGAGCCGAGCCAAUUUAUCUAAUGAAGGUGACGCUGUUGCGGACAGAGGCAAGGGAGCAAGACCCAGAAGCAAGAGCGAGAAAGUAUUGUCGUGAUCUGCGGAGCAAAGUAUUCAUUUAAUCAAAAACUUGAUGCAGGAAGCCCAGGAAGCGUUGGGCGCACGACGACUGGAUGCGUGAUGAUGUGGACAGGCAGCCCGACGCUCUCUCACUCUUUUCGUUUCCUUUCUGUUGCAAAUCGGAAUUGACCACGACGACAGAACCAACGGUGCGUAAAUAGAUGGCGCGGGGAAAUCAAUUCUGUUUCAAUUCAAUGAACCGAGGAUACUUCACUCAGCGCAUCAACUGGUCGUUCAACCUGGGUCAAUGGCCUGGGGACGCUAAAGUAAAAAGUGUCUGUUUCUGUCUCUGCUUUGUAUAAAGAUGGUGGUGGUGGACAAAGGAUAGGAACAUAUAUUCGAAGUUAUGGGAAGCAGAAUCAAAUAACUUUGGUCACUUGUUUGAAUAUAAC
rnacentral:sRNA from 2 species